rnacentral:rRNA from 1 species
AGUUGGUGGGGUAAUGGCCCACCAAGCCAAUGAUCGGUAGCCGGCCUGAGAGGGUGAACGGCCACAUUGGAACUGAGACACGGUCCAAACUCCUACGGGAGGCAGCAGUGGGGAAUAUUGGGCAAUGGGGGAAACCCUGACCCAGCAACGCCGCGUGAGGGAAGAAGGUUUUCGGAUUGUAAACCUCUGUUCUUGGGGAAGAGCAGAAGACGGUACCCAAGGAGGAAGCCCCGGCUAACUACGUGCCAGCAGCCGCGGUAAUACGUAGGGGGCGAGCGUUGUCCGGAAUGAUUGGGCGUAAAGGGCGCGUAGGCGGCCUAUCAAGUCAGUAGUGGAAGUCCAUCUUUCAAGGAUGGAAGUGCUACAGAAACUGAAGGGCUUGAGUGCAGGAGAGGUUAUCGGAAUUCCCGGUGUAGCGGUGAAAUGCGUAGAGAUCGGGAGGAACACCAGUGGCGAAGGCGGGUAACUGGACUGCAACUGACGCUGAGGCGCGAAAGUGUGGGGAGCAAACAGGAUUAGAUACCCUGGUAGUCCACACUGUAAACGAUGAAUGCUAGGUGUAGGGGGUAUCGACCCCUUCUGUGCCGCAGUAAA